rnacentral:rRNA from 1 species
UGGGGAAUAUUGGACAAUGGGCGCAAGCCUGAUCCAGCCAUGCCGCGUGAGUGAUGAAGGCCUUAGGGUUGUAAAGCUCUUUCGCCGGUGAAGAUAAUGAUGGUAACCGGAGAAGAAGCCCCGGCUAACUUCGUGCCAGCAGCCGCGGUAAUACGAAGGGGGCUAGCGUUGCUCGGAAUCACUGGGCGUAAAGCGCACGUAGGCGGAUCGUUAAGUCAGGGGUGAAAUCCUGGAGCUCAACUCCAGAACUGCCCUUGAUACUGGCGAUCUCGAGUUCGAGAGAGGUUGGUGGAACUCCGAGUGUAGAGGUGAAAUUCGUAGAUAUUCGGAAGAACACCAGUGGCGAAGGCGGCCAACUGGCUCGAUACUGACGCUGAGGUGCGAAAGCGUGGGGAGCAAAACAGGAUUAGAUACCCUGGUAGUCCACGCCGUAAACGAUGGAUGCUAGCCGUUGGGGGGUUUACCUCUCAGUGGCGCAGCUAACGCCUUAAGCAUCCCGCCUGGGGAGUACGGUCGCAAGAUUAAAAACUCAAAUGAAUUGACGGGGUCAUAGCUG